AGAGUUUGAUCAUGGCUCAGAUUGAACGCUGGCGGCAUGCCUUACACAUGCAAGUCGAACGGCAGCACGGGAGCUUGCUCCUGGUGGCGAGUGGCGAACGGGUGAGUAAUAUAUCGGAACGUACCCUAGAGUGGGGGAUAACGCAGCGAAAGUUGCGCUAAUACCGCAUACGAUCUACGGAUGAAAGUGGGGGAUCGCAAGACCUCAUGCUCAUGGAGCGGCCGAUAUCUGAUUAGCUAGUUGGUAGGGUAAAAGCCUACCAAGGCUUCGAUCAGUAGCUGGUCUGAGAGGACGACCAGCCACACUGGAACUGAGACACGGUCCAGACUCCUACGGGAGGCAGCAGUGGGGAAUUUUGGACAAUGGGCGCAAGCCUGAUCCGGCAAUGCCGCGUGAGUGAAGAAGGCCUUCGGGUUGUAAAGCUCUUUUGUCAGGGAAGAAACGGUGGACUCUAAUACAGAUCACUAAUGACGGUACCUGAAGAAUAAGCACCGGCUAACUACGUGCCAGCAGCCGCGGUAAUACGUAGGGUGCAAGCGUUAAUCGGAAUUACUGGGCGUAAAGCGUGCGCAGGCGGUUUGGUAAGACAGAUGUGAAAUCCCCGGGCUCAACCUGGGAAUUGCAUUUGUGACUGCCCGACUAGAGUGUGUCAGAGGGGGGUAGAAUUCCACGUGUAGCAGUGAAAUGCGUAGAGAUGUGGAGGAAUACCGAUGGCGAAGGCAGCCCCCUGGGAUAACACUGACGCUCAUGCACGAAAGCGUGGGGAGCAAACAGGAUUAGAUACCCUGGUAGUCCACGCCCUAAACGAUGUCUACUAGUUGUUGGGUCUUAAUUGACUUAGUAACGCAGCUAACGCGUGAAGUAGACCGCCUGGGGAGUACGGUCGCAAGAUUAAAACUCAAAGGAAUUGACGGGGACCCGCACAAGCGGUGGAUGAUGUGGAUUAAUUCGAUGCAACGCGAAAAACCUUACCUACCCUUGACAUGUACGGAAUCCUUGAGAGAUCAGGGAGUGCUCGAAAGAGAACCGUAACACAGGUGCUGCAUGGCUGUCGUCAGCUCGUGUCGUGAGAUGUUGGGUUAAGUCCCGCAACGAGCGCAACCCUUGUCAUUAGUUGCUACGAAAGGGCACUCUAAUGAGACUGCCGGUGACAAACCGGAGGAAGGUGGGGAUGACGUCAAGUCCUCAUGGCCCUUAUGGGUAGGGCUUCACACGUCAUACAAUGGUACAUACAGAGGGCCGCCAACCCGCGAGGGGGAGCUAAUCCCAGAAAGUGUAUCGUAGUCCGGAUUGUAGUCUGCAACUCGACUACAUGAAGUUGGAAUCGCUAGUAAUCGCGGAUCAGCAUGUCGCGGUGAAUACGUUCCCGGGUCUUGUACACACCGCCCGUCACACCAUGGGAGCGGGUUUCACCAGAAGUAGGUAGCCUAACCGUAAGGAGGGCGCUUACCACGGAGGGAUUCGUGACUGGGGUGAAGUCGUAACAAGGUA
rnacentral:rRNA from 1 species